CAGCAGCCGCGGUAAUACAUAGGUCCCGAGCGUUGUCCGGAUUUAUUGGGCGUAAGGGGAGCGCAGGCGGUUUAGUAAGUCUGAAGUUAAAGGCAUUGGCUCAACCAAUGUAUGCUUUGGAAACUGUUAGACUUGAGUGCAGAAGGGGAGAGUGGAAUUCCAUGUGUAGCGGUGAAAUGCGUAGAUAUAUGGAGGAACACCGGUGGCGAAAGCGGCUCUCUGGUCUGUCACUGACGCUGAGGCUCGAAAGCGUGGGUAGCGAACAGGAUUAGAUACCCGAGUAGUCCCUGUCUCUUAUACA
rnacentral:rRNA from 1 species